rnacentral:misc_RNA from 1 species
UCCUUUCACAGUGGUUCUCUGCCUAGGUAUUGUUUUUGUUGGCUGGCCCUUUCUAAUUGGGCUAUUUUCAUUCUCCUUCCUUCUCAUGGUGUGGUUUCUCACAGGUACUUACUGCAUGAAAAACCUGUUAGAGUGCUAGAACUUUUGUAACUAAUGUCAAAGGUUUGUUUUUGAGAAGAAGCUGAAUCGAUAGUCUCGCUUGUUUUUGAAGUGUUCAUAAUACCUAAAUACGAGUGAGAGUUAUAGGAUCAUGAAAUCUAUAAUCAUUAAUCUUUACCCAGCAUCAUGAAACUGAACUGAUUAUAGAUUUCAUGAUCCUAUAACUCUCACUCG